UUGAUCCUGGCUCAGAAUCAACGCUGGCGGCGUGCCUAACACAUGCAAGUCGAACGCGAAAGGGACUUCGGUCCUGAGUAGAGUGGCGAACGGGUGAGUUACACGUGGGUGACCUACCUUCGAAUGGGGGAUAACGUCCCGAAAGGGACUCUAAUACCGCAUAACAUCCUGUCCUUGAACGGAUGGUGAUCAAAGCCGGUGAUCGCAAGACCUGGCGUUUGAAGAGGGGCCCGCGUCCGAUUAGCUAGUUGGUGAGGUAACGGCUCACCAAGGCAACGAUCGGUAACCGGCCUGAGAGGUCGGACGGUCACACUGGGACUGAGACACGGCCCAGACUCCUACGGGAGGCUGCAGUGGGGAAUUGUUCACAAUGGGCGCAAGCCUGAUGACGCAACGCCGUGUGGAGGAUGAAGGUCUUCGGAUUGUAAACUCCUGUUGCCCGGGACGAAUUGCUUUGACCUAACACGUCAAAGUUUGACGGUACCGGGUGAGGAAGCCCUGGCUAACUCUGUGCCAGCAGCCGCGGUAAUAAGGU
rnacentral:rRNA from 1 species